rnacentral:lncRNA from 1 species
UCGGCAGGGGACGGCGACCAUCGCAUCCGCUGAUAUGUUCACCAUCAUCAUUUAUAUGUAAUCUCAAAAACAAAUAAAUGCAUCCAGAUCUUGCAGGUUACACCAGGUUCUGUAGCUAUUAUUAUAUCUGUAAUUUCUAGCUUUCAUGUAAUUUAUCACCAUUUAAUUACUAUAUGUGAUAGAUAUUUCUCUACUUAUUUUUAUCUUAUAUGAUGUGUUGUUCUACCUACGUAUGUUGCAUUCAGAGUACCGUUAGUUCUUGUAUGCUUGCAUCUUUGAUUGCGUAGACAUGCAGAGUGUCCUUUAAAUUUCUGUUAUUAUAGUUGGGAGGGUUACUCCUCAUUCUGGAGCCCCAAGUCAGAUUGAUAGAUUUUAUAUAUGUAAACAUGAUGACCUUAUCAGUACCUUUGCCACUAUCUCUCUUUUGUUUGUGUAAUCCUACAGCCCGAUCAGCUUCAAAUACCUACUCUGACAGACAAUUCACGUUAAACUCGAUUAUUAACAUCCCUAUUCGUUGCAUUAAUUAUUUAUUUCUAGAGAUUUCUUUCUCAUAGCUGUUAUAUUCUUCCUUGCCCAUAAAUUAUUAUUUUGUUUAAUGAUAUCAAGCAUUCUUAUCUGGUAGAUCAGGCUGGUGACAAUGUCCAUCUGGAUGAGCAGGGGCAUGAUCUUUACAAUGAAGCACAAAGUUUGUCAGACAUUCUUGAUAAAGAGUCGAUAUAUCUAACUAUCUAAGGUGUGCCUGAUUAUACUGAAUGUUGCUCCCUUGCUUCCUUGACAUAUAUAUGGUUUUCUUUAACAUCUGAUCUCCAUGUCGUGUGAUAGCUACCAUUGAUGAAGUUACAAGAUGGUGAAAAUAAGCAGAAUGAUAUUUCAGUGGCUGAAGUGCUAGAAGAACCAGGAAGUUACUAGCAUCAAAAGGAAAAGAGAGCAAGGGGAUCUCAAACGUGUAAAAUCAUAUUGCCCAGUUAGAGAUUCCUAGGAGUUGUUUGUGCUAUUUUUUUAAGAUUACAUUGGUGAGUCGCUUUUUUUCUUUUCUCUCUAGGAGUAUGUCUCAAUAUGCAGCCUUUUGCUGUAUCAACAUUUUUUGUAAUCUUUCUAUUUCUGUAUAUUUAUGAGACCAUUUAUUUCAUUCUACAAUUAUGCUCCUGUCUUUGAUCCAGCAACAUACUACUUUCAAUAGUAUUACAUAGUUAUCCAUUGAC